UGACAGGUGUCCUCAUAAGAUAAAAGCAGAGAGAGAUCUGAGAUACAAACACACAGAAGAGAAGGCAAUGUGAAUACAGAGGCAUAAACUGGAGUUAUUCAGUUAAAAGCCAAGGGAAUUUUGAGAGUUGCCAGCAGCUACCAGAAGCUAGGAGAAAGGCAUGGAACGGAUUCUCCCUUUGAGCCUACAGAAAAACCAACUCUGCCAAUACCUUGAUUUCAGGCUCUAGCCUCCAAAACUACCAGCUGGAGGACAUCUCUCAAACUUCCUCUUUUACUCCUCGUCAUGAAGAACUCUUUACUUUGAAAGUGCUCAUGUGAUUAGCUUAGGCCCAUCUGAGUAACUUCCCAAAGACUAACCCAAAGUCAAUUGAUUAGUUUUGCCUGCACUUAAUGGGAGGAGAUCUUACAAGAAGGAAUGCCAUUGGGGGUCAUUUUGGAGUCUGCCUACCACAACUGUGUUCUCCAGCUUUAUCUACAGACACUGAAGUCUGAAUCGAGUAAAAUGUUCACAUCUCUCAAAUAUUACACCUUUAAAUUCUUUUCCAACCAUUUAAAUAUGUAGAAACUAUUCUUAACUUGUAAGGUUGCAUAAAAACAGGCAGAGGGCUGCAUGUGGUACAGGACCUCUGGUUUGCUGACCUCUGGGUUAGAGGGUCAGAUAAACCUUAUAGGAACACUAAAAGAUUAAUUUUCAUAAUAUUCCACAAAGUGCCUUCUUCACAGUAAGUAUUCAGUGAGGGCAUGAAUGAACAAAUACUGGGUUCUAGAAAAGACUGAGGAAAUAAAGUACACCCCCAAAAUUCUGGUAUGGAGUCCACUGCUGUGAGUAGAAUAAAAACAGUUAUGCUUUUGAUUAUGAGACUAGGCAUGGCCUAGGGGAGGCCUAGGUGGCCCAGCGCUCAGCCAGAGCACCAUAUCCCUUGGGCUCCAAAGUGAAACCCUGUAAUUACAAGGGUUAUGUAACAGUUAAAGUCUAUCCAGCACAUUUUAUCUGAUCACUGGACUAAAAAGCCAAGCAAAACUCAGCAGUCUCUCUCUGAAAUGCUGGGCUUUGUAUCAAGGUUUGGGUCUCCUUAAUGACUGGUUGGCUUAUCUGGCUAAGCAACAGUGCCAUAGUCCAACUGAAUGUCAUUGCAUUUCUUGGUAAAUGAAUAAGGUGGGAAUGGCUUGGACCAUGCUGAGAGUCAAAUGCAUUGAAAACACAGGGCGGAGGAGAAAACUUGGCACUGCUCGGUGAGAUCUCUUACCCAGUACUAAAGGAUCCAUCCCCGGUAUUUUCUAAGUUCCCUGGGAUGAUGGGAAGAGUCAGAGUAUUGGCUGAGGCCAUAUCAGAGGAAUAGUAUUCAUUAUGGAAAAUCUGGGAGAGUGUUCUAGUCUGUAAACUACCCAGAAUCCCAGAUUCACAGAAUGUCACGAUGAGAAGGGAUCCCAGGGACCACUUGCUUCAACUCUCAUGUGCGGGAAGAAACCAAGUCUUAAGACAUUAAAUUACUUUCCCAAAUGUCCCAAGCUAGUUAGUAAGAACUUAGGAGAAGCCUAUUUAUUGUGAUUCUCAAUAGAAUACUAUUUGUGUUCCAUUUUCUCUUCUUCAUUUGUCCCAGGCUCUUGCAUAUUUGUGCUGGUUAUAGCAUUUUGGCCAGAAUUAUGCCAGAGAUUAUUGUUCUUUCCUGCUCCUCCCACUGUCACAACACCACCCUGGGAUGUUGUCACUUUUUACCUUGUAUUUUAGAACACUGAAGAAUGUGCUCCCUACCUAGAUUUUCAUAGGUCCUUCUUGCCUGGUUGGUAUUUUACAUAACAUAUCCAGGUUGCUGGUAAAGAAUCAGAGCCUUAGAAGCAGCCUGUUUUGGUUUAUAGGCAGUCUACAAACUGGUCAGAGCAAUCCUUCCAUUAAAUAUCAACAUCCAAGGAAGGUGGGAAGAGGUUUCUAAAGUAUUUAUUUGUAUUUAUAAUUUGUAGCUGUUUUCCUUAAAAGGGAGAAGUCUGACUGCUCUGUGCCAACUUAGCAAUACCCUAAGUCUUUGGAGAAUAUGCUUCUUGUUGGAUCCCCUGGCAGUGAACAUCUUUCCUUGUCGAAAUUGUCCCCAAUGUCUUAGGAACCCCCAUCCCCAUGGUUUCUCCCCUAUUCCAUGUACUUAGCCCUAUCACCAGGUCUCUUGCACCCUGGGCCGGAGGCAGGCGCCAAACUGCUGAGCCACCCAGGGAUCCCCCUCUCUUCCUUUUAAUGUUAAAACUCACUUGUUAGAUCUGCCUAGGGCAGCCCGGGUGGCUCAGAGGUUUAGCGCCACCUUUGGCCCAGAGCCUGAUUCUGGAGACCCAGGAUGGAGUCCCAUGUUGGGCUCCCUGCAUGGAGACCACUCCCACU